GUGGGGAAUUUUGGACAAUGGGCGAAAGCCUGAUCCAGCAAUGCCGCGUGUGUGAAGAAGGCCUUCGGGUUGUAAAGCACUUUUGGCAGGGAAGAAACAGUGCGUGCUAAUACCAUGCGCGAAUGACGGUACCUGCAGAAUAAGCACCGGCUAACUACGUGCCAGCAGCCGCGGUAAUACGUAGGGUGCAAGCGUUAAUCGGAAUUACUGUGCGUAAAGCGUGCGCAGGCGGCUUUGUAAGACGGAUGUGAAAGCCCCGGGCUCAACCUGGGAAGUGCAAUCGUGACUGCAAGGCUAGAGUGUGUCAGAGGGAGGUGGAAUUCCGCGUGUAGCAGUGAGAUGCGUAGAGAUGCGGAGGAACACCGAUGGCGAAGGCAGCCUCCUGGGAUAACACUGACGCUCAGGCACGAAAGCGUGGGGAGCAAACAGGAUUAGAAACCCCAGUAGUCC
rnacentral:rRNA from 1 species